rnacentral:rRNA from 1 species
GAUGAACGCUGGCGGCGUGCCUAAUACAUGCAAGUCGAGCGGACAGACGCGGAGCUUGCUCCUCUGACGUUUGCGGCGGGCGGGUGUGUCACACGUGUAUCACCUACCUAUCAUAGUGGGAUAAUUUCGGGAAACCGGAUCUUAUACCGUAUAAUAUAUUGCACCGCAGUGUUCAAUAGUGAAAGACGGUUGUGCUGUCUCUUAUCGCUGCAUCUGGGCCGCAUUAGCUAGUUGUGAAGGUCACGGCUUACCAAGGCUACGAUGCGUAGCCGACCUGAGAGAGUGGUCGGCCACAUGGGAAGUGAGACGCGGUCAAGGCUACUACGAGAGGGAGCAGAAGGGAAUCGUCCGCAGUGGGCGAAAGCAUGACGGAGCAACGCCGCGCGAGAGAUGAAGGCCUUGGGAGCGUAAUAACCUGUUAUUAGGGAAGAACAAAUGUGUAAGUAACCAUGCAGGUAGUGACGGUAAUUAGUCAAAAAGCAACGGCUAACUACGUG